UGCAGUCGAGGGGUAGAGGAAGCUUGCUUCCUUGAGACCGGCGCACGGGUGCGUAACGCGUAUGCAAUCUACCUUUUACAGAGGGAUAGCCCAGAGAAAUUUGGAUUAAUACCUCAUAGNAUAUACUAUUCGCAUGUUUGAUAUAUUAAAGUUCCAACGGUAAAAGAUGAGCAUGCGUCCCAUUAGUUAGUUGGUAAGGUAACGGCUUACCANGACGAUGAUGGGUAGGGGUCCUGAGAGGGAGAUCCCCCACACUGGUACUGAGACAGGANCCAANCNUNUACGGGAGGCAGCAGUGAGGAAUAUUGGUCAAUGGACGCAAGUCUGAACCAGCCAUGCCGCGUNCAGGAAGACGGUCCUAUGGAUUGUAAACUGCUUUUGUACGGGAAGAAACCCUCCGACGAGUCGGAGCUUGACGGUACCGUAAGAAUAAGCAUCGGCUAACUCCGUGCCAGCAGCCGCGGUAAUACGGAGGAUGCGAGCGUUAUCCGGAAUCAUUGGGUUUAAAGGGUCCGUAGGCGGUUUAAUAAGUCAGUGGUGAAAUCUGGUCGCUCAACGAUCAAACUGCCAUUGAUACUGUUAGACUUGAAUUACUGUGAAGUACCUAGAAUAUGUAGU
rnacentral:rRNA from 1 species